UACGUAGGGGGCAAGCGUUGUCCGGAUUUAUUGGGCGUAAAGAGCGUGUAGGCGGCCUGAAAGGUCAGCUGUGAAAACUCGAGGCUCAACCUCGAGACGUCGGUUGAAACCAUCUGGCUAGAGUCCGGAAGAGGAGAGUGGAAUUCCCGGUGUAGCGGUGAAAUGCGCAGAUAUCGGGAAGAACACCCGUGGCGAAGGCGGGUCUCUGGGCCGUUACUGACGCUGAGGAGCGAAAGCGUGGGGAGCGAACAGG
rnacentral:rRNA from 1 species